UACGAAGGGGGCUAGCGUUGCUCGGAAUCACUGGGCGUAAAGGGCGCGUAGGCGGCCUUCUAAGUCGAACGUGAAAUCCCCGGGCUCAACCCGGGAACUGCGUCCGAUACUGGAAGGCUUGAAUCCGGGAGAGGGAUGUGGAAUUCCAGGUGUAGCGGUGAAAUGCGCAGAUAUCAGGAGGAACACCCGUGGCGAAAGCGGCUCUCUGGGACGGUACUGACGCUGAGACGCGAAAGCGUGGGGAGCAAACAGG
rnacentral:rRNA from 1 species